UGGGGAAUAUUGGACAAUGGGCGAAAGCCUGAUCCAGCCAUGCCGCGUGUGUGAAGAAGGUCUUCGGAUUGUAAAGCACUUUAAGUUGGGAGGAAGGGCAGUAAGCGAAUACCUUGCUGUUUUGACGUUACCGACAGAAUAAGCACCGGCUAACUCUGUGCCAGCAGCCGCGGUAAUACAGAGGGUGCAAGCGUUAAUCGGAAUUACUGGGCGUAAAGCGCGCGUAGGUGGUUCGUUAAGUUGAAUGUGAAAGCCCCGGGCUCAACCUGGGAACUGCAUCCAAAACUGGCGAGCUAGAGUAGGGCAGAGGGUGGUGGAUUUUCCUGUGUAGCGGUGAAAUGCGUAGAUAUAGGAAGGAACACCAGUGGCGAAGGCGACCACCUGGGCUCAUACUGACACUGAGGUGCGAAAGCGUGGGGAGCAAACAGG
rnacentral:rRNA from 1 species